GUGUUUGUGUCCAGGGCCAAACAGCCAGCUCUCUCUCCCCUGUCUGUGAGCACUCUCUGUGUGCCAAGCAGAGGCACUGUGACAUGCUCCCACAAGGCCUCUCAUUAGAAACAGAGCUGUCUGGCAAGCUGGACCGUAAACUUUAGAGAGGUCACCCCCAUCCUGUUCUUCUGCACUGUAAACAAGCAGAAAGGUGUUCUGUCUGUCCACACCAAUGAGGUUUCUAAUACCUGAAAAAGUAUGUUCUGAUUUGAAAAUCUGCCAUCUUGACAUGAAGGUCUUUAACCAGUCCGACUCUUGGCAGGUACAGAACACUAAAGGACCAUUUUAUUUCUAAAUGAGUCUGAAUGGCGCACCACAAAGACUGGAAAUGCUGCUGCCCUUUCAUUUUAAAUGCAAUUAAGGACCCUGGUGGAUCCAAUCAAGGAAUCACACGAAUGGCUGAAUAUGGUGGACUUGUGAAAGAUCAGGGCAUUCAGGCUGGUGACAUUCCUCCCGGCGAGCAGAUCCAUCCUGGGCCGGGGGUGAAAAAUGCAGCGCCGUGCUGCUGCUCAGCUGCAGAUGAAUGGAGCUAUCUGUCUUGUCACGAGGGGUCGGCGGGAGAGGUUACAGCCCAACUGUACCUGGUCUCCGGUGCUGACGCCUGCACGCCGCUCUUUACAAGAGAAGAAACAGAAGAGAUUGAGAGAGAGAGAGCGAGAGAAAAACAAAUCCUGCCCUAUCAAGCACUUCUCCGGUCCCUCCAGAGCCCAUCUCACUUCUCAUCAUCCCGCAGUCCUGCUGCCCUGAGCGCAGGCUUUGACACAUCUAUAUGUUUUUCCUUCUGACCUUUCAACGUCCUUUCUGUCAGCGCCUGUAAACCAUAAGCUGAUGUAUGAGGGCAAUUUUUAGCGGUGCCACUUGUUUCUGAGUGAUUGCGCACACUUUACAUUUGGGGGGUCUGCCACCCUGCCACCUCCUCAACAUCUCUUUAUUUGCUUUGCUUGAGAUUGAGGCAGAGAAACUGAG